CUCAAUGAAAAUUAAAUAGCCGCAAAUUAUAUUGUGCUAAGGUAGCAUAAUCAUUCGUUUUUUAAUUAAAAACUAGAAUGAAAGAUUUAACAUUUUUAUUUCUUUCUUACUUAUACAAAUUUAAAUUAUUUUAAAUAUAAAAAAAUAUUUAUUAAUUAAAAAGACGACAAGACCCUAUUGAACUUAACUUAAGUUUAACUGGGGCAGUUAAUUAAAUAUAAUUUUAAUUAAAACUUCAAAAAAAUCUAAUAAAAUUAAAUAAUAAAGUUACCAUAGGGAUAACAGCGUAAUAAUUUUUUAUAGAUCUUAUUCAAAAAAUUGUUUGCGACCUCGAUGUUGAAUUAAUAUUCAAUUAAAUGCAAUAAUUUAAAAUAGAAAGUCUGUUCGACUU
rnacentral:rRNA from 1 species